rnacentral:rRNA from 1 species
AACGAACGCUGGCGGCAUGCCUAACACAUGCAAGUCGAACGAGACCUUCGGGUCUAGUGGCGCCCGGGUGCGUAACGCGUGGGAACCUGCCCUUAGGUUCGGAAUAACUCCCCGAAAGAGGUGCUAAUACCGGAUCAUGUCUUCGGACCAAAGAUUUAUCGCGUUUGGAUGGGCCCGCGUUGGAAUGGCUAGUUGGUAGGGUAAUAGCCUACCAAGCCGCCGAUCCAUAGCUGGUCUGGGAAGAGGGACAGCCACACUGCGACUACGACACGGCCCAGACUCCUACGUGAGGCAGCAGGGGAGAACAUUGGACAGCGAGGUAGAGCGCAGUCCAACAACGCCACGGGUGUUAAGAUGGCUUUGGAGGGGGAUAGCGCUAUUACCGGGGGAGUGAUUGACGGUACCGGAAGAAUAAGGUCCGGCUAACUCCGUG